UGAAUACGAGACGCUAAGGCGUCGAAGUAGUGUAUGUCAUACUUCCAAGAAAAGCUUGCACUGUCAUAGAUAAAAAACGCCUGUACCAUAACCGACACAGGUGGGUAGGUAGAGUAUACUAAGGGGCGCGAGAUAACUCUCUCUAAGGAACUCGGCAAAAUGACUCCGUAACUUCGGGAGAAGGAGUGCCUUAUUCUUAAGGUUGCAAUAACAAGAUCCAAGCAACUGUUUAUCAAAAACACAGGUCUCCGCUAAGUCGUAAGACGAUGUAUGGGGGCUGACGCCUGCCCAGUGCCAGAAGGUUAAAGAAGUUGGUUAGCAUUUGCGAAGCUGAUAACUGAAGCCCUGGUGAACGGCGGCCGUAACUAUAACGGUCCUAAGGUAGCGAAAUUCCUUGUCGGGUAAGUUCCGACCCGCACGAAAGGCGUAAUGAUUUGGAUACUGUCUCGGAGAGGGGCUCGGUGAAAUAGACUUGUCUGUGAAGAUGCGGACUACCUGCACCAGGACAGAAAGACCCUAUGAAGCUUUACUGUAACUUGAAAUUGAAAUUGGACUUUAUUCGCGCAGUAUAGGUGGGAGGCGUUGAUUAUAAUCUUGCGGGAUUAUUGGAGCCAUCAGUGAGAUACCACCCUUGUAAUGUUAGAUUUCUAACUUUGAAUCAUUAUCUGGUCAAAGAACAGUUUCAGGCGGGCAGUUUGACUGGGGCGGUCGCCUCCUAAACGGUAACGGAGGCGUACAAAGGUUUCCUCUGAACGGUUAGAAAUCGUAUCUAGAGUGUAAAGGCAUAAGGAAGCUUGACUGUGAGACCUACAAGUCGAGCAGGGACGAAAGUCGGUCUUAGUGAUCUGACGGUACUGAGUGGAAAGGCCGUCACUCAACGGAUAAAAGUUACUCUAAGGAUAACAGGCUGAUCUCCCCCAAGAGUUCACAUCGACGGGGAGGUUUGGCACCUCGAUGUCGGCUCAUCGCAUCCUGGGGCGGUAGUACGUCCCAAGGGUUGGGCUGUUCGCCCAUGAAAGCGGUACGCGAGCUGGGUUCAGAACGUCGUGAGACAGUUCGGUCCAUAUCCGGUGUAGGCGUUAGAAUAUUGAGAGGAGCCUUCUUUAGUACGAGAGGACCGAGAAGGACAUACCUCUGGUGUACCAGUUAUCGUGCCAACGGUAAACGCUGGGUAGCUAUGUAUGGAGUGGAUAACCGCUGAAAGCAUCUAAGUGGGAAGCCCACCUCAAGAUAAG
rnacentral:rRNA from 1 species